CAGGAGUCUAACUUGUACGCAAGUGGUCGGGUUUGAAAAGCCCGAACGCGAAAUGAAUGUGAAGGUCUUCUUUGGAGGACUGACGGGCGAUCCUCGGUGUUCAUGCCCUCCUUGAGUGGGACGGCCGAGGCGCAGCCCGGGGGCACCAAGACUUCUAAUCGCAGGUCUGGUGCACCUAGAGCGUACACGUUGGGACCCGAAAGAUGGUGAACUAUGCUUGGCAAGGGCGAAGCCAGGGGAAACUCUGGUGGAGGCCCGUUUGGAUUCUGACGUGCAAAUCGAUCCUCAAAGCUGAGUAUAGGGGCGAAAGACUAAUCGAACCAUCUAGUAGCUGGUUCCCCCCGAAGUUUCCCUCAGGAUAGCUGGUACUCGAUGUGAGAUGAUGAGUUUCAUCCGGUAAAGCGAAUGAUUAGAGGCCUUGGGGGCGAAAUGACCUCAACCUAUUCUCAAACUUUAAAUGGGUGAGAAGCCGGGCUUGCUUGAGUGAAGCUCCGGCAAUCGAAUCGAGAGAGUACCAAGUGGGCCACUUUUGGUAAGCAGAACUGGCGCUGUGGGAUGAACCAAACGUUGAGUUACGGUGCCCGAAUGAACGCAAAUCUGAUCCCAUGAAGGGUGUCGGUUGCUCCAGACAGCAGGACGGUGGCCA
rnacentral:rRNA from 1 species